UGUCGGGUAAGUUCCGACCUGCACGAAUGGCGUAACGACUUCUCAACUGUCUCAACCAUAGACUCGGCGAAAUUGCACUACGAGUAAAGAUGCUCGUUACGCGCGGCAGGACGAAAAGACCCCGGGACCUUCACUAUAGCUUGGUAUUGGCGUUUGGUUCGGUUUGUGUAGGAUAGGUGGGAGACUGUGAAGCAGGCACGCCAGUGUUUGUGGAGUCAUCGUUGAAAUACCACUCUGAUCGUAUUGAACCUCUAACCUCGGACCGUAUAUCCGGUCCAGGGACAGUGCCUGGUGGGUAGUUUAACUGGGGCGGUUGCCUCCCAAAAUGUAACGGAGGCGCCCAAAGGUUCCCUCAACCUGGACGGCAAUCAGGUGUUGAGUGCAAGUGCACAAGGGAGCUUGACUGCGAGACCUACAAGUCAAGCAGGGACGAAAGUCGGGACUAGUGAUCCGGCACCUCUGAGUGGAAGGGGUGUCGCUCAACGGAUAAAAGGUACCCCGGGGAUAACAGGCUGAUCUUCCCCAAGAGUCCAUAUCGACGGGAUGGUUUGGCACCUCGAUGUCGGCUCGUCGCAUCCUGGGGCUGGAGCAGGUCCCAAGGGUUGGGCUGUUCGCCCAUUAAAGCGGCACGCGAGCUGGGUUUAGAACGUCGUGAGACAGUUCGGUCUCUAUCCGCCGCGCGCGUCAGAAACUUGAGGAAACCUGUCCCUAGUACGAGAGGACCGGGACGGACGAACCUCUGGUGUACCAGUUGUUCCACCAGGAGCACGGCUGGAUAGC
rnacentral:rRNA from 1 species